rnacentral:lncRNA from 1 species
ACAAAUCUGUGUUUCACAUGGGAUGGCUUAUGGACUAGGGUAGGGUGGACACCUCACUUCCCAAAUUUGUGAAGGGUUGCCUCCAGUACCAGGUUCAUGAACAAUUUAAAAAUACAUGAAAAUCAAACUCAUUGUCUGUCUACUGAAGGAAUGGAACCAUGCACCAUAUCUCACUAGAAAUAAUACUGUGCUGCUGUUCUGCUGUCUUGGAUUAAACAUAUAGGAACAUGAGAAGCCAAAGAGGCUACUAUAAUAAGGACUGAGGACAGCAACAGGUGGCCGUACUUAUCAAGUAAACCGCAUAGAAUCUGGACUCCACUCAGUUGUCCAAAAGCGGGGUCAGGUUUUGCCUUGAUCCUGAAAAUUUAUUGCACAUUCCUGGGAGCUGUGCAUUUCUGCAGUUGAUCCCGGCGCAUGUGCUUAGCAGUAGAAUAAGCCUGCUUGGUUUUAUUUUUUAUUUUUUAAAAAAUUAGAAAGUUCCUGGCCUGUUAAGAAUUUUCUGGGGCUAGGAUAAUAAUCCAUGAGAGAAUCCAAAGGAAAUAUGUAAAUCAAUACAGAAGCCGGCCUGCCUCCCCUCAUAAAUAGCUUGAACUGAAUGCUGCCCAUCAGCCUAACCCCAUUUUAAAUAGGCAGCUGGUGAUGUCAUGGCUUAUGUUGCCAAUGCCCUGGUUGCUUGCCUCCCUCCUCCCUCUGACUACUUUAGUCCCACCAGAGGAACUGGGAAUCCAGACUGCCCUGGGAGAUGAGGAGAAGCUGAGGAAAGCCCCGGGUACCACGGGUUCGUGCUGUGCUCCAUCCUUCCUCUCCAGCCACAUUGACUUCUUACGCUCCAGAGCAGAAGUGAAAAGCUUGGCAGAGCCGGUGCCUUCUUCCCCUGCCCAAACCUCACCAGUCAUUACCUACAUCUGGCUGCAGAGCCAGUGGUUGGGAGUUGGAUUCCCCACUGUGCCUCCUUGACAGCAGCUGGAAUGGAUGAUCCAAAGGGUCCCUUCCAGCUCUGCAGUUCUAAGAUCGCUGCUGCUGUUGUUUCCAGUUGACCUUUUUGUGUAGAGUCCUGGCUUCAACAGGGGCUGGAGAGUGACCUUGGGCUCUCGAAGGCUGUGACCGCACACCACAAGCUCUGACACAUUGUACUAAGCCGGUAUGUCUUUGAGCAUAGCCUUAGAUUGUGCAUCUACCAUAGGAGAGCCACCCUAACUAAAUGCAGAGGCUCCUCACCAGAAGGCCAUCAAGUAAUGAAUUGGCUGCAGCAACUAUGAACACAAUGACAUUGUGAAAUAGUUGUGCUCUGCAUGGGUGGAGGGACUAACUCCGCCCAAUGAAAUCAUGGAGGU